rnacentral:rRNA from 1 species
CCUUUAUCUGGGGUAUAGCCCGAAGAAAUUCGGAUUAAUCCCCCAUAAGAUAUUAGAGUGGCAUCACUUCGAUAUUAAAACUCCGGUGGAUAAAGAUGAGUGUGCGUCCCAUUAGCUAGUUGGUAGGGUAACGGCCUACCAAGGCAACGAUGGGUAGCUGGUGUGAGAGCACGACCAGCCACACGGGCACUGAGACACGGGCCCGACUCCUACGGGAGGCAGCAGUGAGGAAUAUUGGUCAAUGGACGCAAGUCUGAACCAGCCAUGCCGCGUGAAGGAUGAAGGCCUUCUGGGUUGUAAACUUCUUUUAUUGGGGAAGAAAAUUACGGUUUCUACUGUAACCGACGGUACCCAAGGAAUAAGCACCGGCUAACUCCGUGCCAGCAGCCGCGGUAAUACGGAGGGUGCAAGCGUUAUCCGGAUUCACUGGGUUUAAAGGGUGUGUAGGCGGGCAUUUAAGUCAGUGGUGAAAUCUCCGAGCUCAACUCGGAAACUGCCAUUGAUACUAUUUGUCUUGAAUAUCGUUGAGGUUGGCGGAAUAUAUCAUGUAGCGGUGAAAUGCUUAGAUAUGAUAUAGAACACCGAUUGCGAAGGCAGCUAACUAAGCGAUGAUUGACGCUGAGGCACGAAAGCGUGGGGAUCAAACAGGAUUAGAUACCCUGGUAGUCCACGCCCUAAACGAUGAUUACUCGACAUACGCGAUACACAGUGUGUGUCUGAGCGAAAGCAUUAAGUAA